UACAGAGGGUGCGAGCGUUGUCCGGAAUCACUGGGCGUAAAGCGCGCGUAGGCGGCUUCUUAAGUUUGGGGUGAAAGGUUCAGCGCUCAACGUGAACAGUGCCUUGAAUACUGGGGAGCUUGAAUGUGGCAGAGGGUCAUGGAAUUUCCGGUGUAGCGGUGAAAUGCGUAGAUAUCGGAAGGAACACCAAUGGCGAAGGCAGUGACCUGGGCUAACAUUGACGCUGAGGUGCGAAAGCGUGGGGAGCGAACGGG
rnacentral:rRNA from 1 species